CAGUCGCCGCGGUAAUACGUAGGUCCCGAGCGCUGUCCGGAUUUAUUGGGCGUAAAGCGAGCGCAGGCGGUUAGAUAAGUCUGAAGUUAAAGGCUGUGGCUUAACCAUAGUACGCUUUGGAAACUGUUUAACUUGAGUGCAAGAGGGGAGAGUGGAAUUCCAUGUGUAGCGGUGAAAUGCGUAGAUAUAUGGAGGAACACCGGUGGCGAAAGCGGCUCUCUGGCUUGUAACUGACGCUGAGGCUUGAAAGCGUGGGGAGCAAACAGGAUUAGAGACCCCAGUAGUCCCUGUCUCUUAUACA
rnacentral:rRNA from 1 species